UCUGGUGUUUUGAAGGCCAGCAUCCCUUUUGCAGUUAUUGGCUCAAAUCAGCUUAUUGAGGUGAAAGGGAAGAAAAUCCGUGGACGGUUGUACCCUUGGGGUGUCGUGGAAGUGGAGAAUCCGGAACACAACGACUUCUUGAAACUUCGUACCAUG